UACAGAGGGGGCAAGCGUUGUUCGGAAUUACUGGGCGUAAAGGGCGCGUAGGCGGUUUGUCGCGUCUGCUGUGAAAACUCGGGGCUUAACCCCGGGCCUGCAGUGGGUACGGGCAGACUAGAGUGCGGUAGGGGAGACUGGAAUUCCUGGUGUAGCGGUGAAAUGCGCAGAUAUCAGGAGGAACACCGGUGGCGAAGGCGGGUCUCUGGGCCGUAACUGACGCUGAGGAGCGAAAGCGUGGGGAGCGAACAGG
rnacentral:rRNA from 1 species